rnacentral:rRNA from 1 species
GGUUGUGAUCAUACCAGCACUAAUGCACCGGAUCCCAUCAGAACUCCGCAGUUAAGCGUGCUUGGGCGAGAGUAGUACUAGGAUGGGUGACCCCCUGGGAAGUUCUCGUGUUGCAACCCC